rnacentral:rRNA from 1 species
GCCAGACUCCUACGGGAGGCAGCAGUGAGGAAUAUUGGUCAAUGGCCGAGAGGCUGAACCAGCCAAGUCGCGUGAGGGAAGACGGCCCUACGGGUUGUAAACCUCUUUUGUCGGGGAGCAAAGCGAGUCACGUGUGACUCAUUGAGAGUACCCGAAGAAAAAGCAUCGGCUAACUCCGUGCCAGCAGCCGCGGUAAUACGGAGGAUGCGAGCGUUAUCCGGAUUUAUUGGGUUUAAAGGGUGCGCAGGCGGAGGUGCAAGUCAGCGGUCAAAUUGCGGGGCUCAACCCCGGCGAGCCGUUGAAACUGGCUGUCUUGAGAUGUCGAGAGGUAUGCGGAAUGCGCAGUGUAGCGGUGAAAUGCUUAGAUAUUGCGCAGAACUCCGAUUGCGAAGGCAGCAUACCGGCGGCGAUCUGACGCUGAGGCACGAAAGCGUGGGUAUCGAACAGGAUUAGAUACCCUCGUAG